rnacentral:rRNA from 1 species
CCUACGUGAGACAGCAGUGGGGAAUAUUGCGCAAUGGGCGAAAGCCUGACGCAGCGACGCCGCGUGCGGGAUGAAGGUCUUCGGAUCGUAAACCUCUGUCAGCAGGGACGAACGGUCACUGUGCUAAUCAGCAGUGAAUUGACGGUACCUGCAAAGGAAGCACCGGCUAACUCCGUGCCAGCAGCCGCGGUAAUACGGAGGGUGCGCGCGUUAAUCGGAUUUACUGGGCGUAAAGCGCUCGUAGGCGGUAUGUCAAGUCAAGGGUGAAAUCCCCGCGCUCAACGUGGGAACUGCCUUUGAAACUGGUGAUCUGGAGUGUGUGAGAGGAUAGUGGAAUUCAAGGUGUAGGAGUGAAAUCCGUAGAGAUCUGGCGGAACAUCAGUGGCGAAGGCGACUAUCCGGUACAUAACUGACGUUGAGGAGCGAAAGCGUGGGGAGCAAACAGGAUUAGAUACCCUAGUAGUC